UUUUGAAAACUAUUCUGUUAUAAGUUACAGAACACAUUAUUUCCGUACUUUUGAUUAAGUGCGUUUAUUGAAGAAUUGUAUGUACGCACGCCAUCAUACAAAUAAAUGAUUUAAAACAAUUUUAAAACGUUACAAACGUGUUAAUACUUAAUAGAACGAAAGAUUUGACAUACAAAUACAUGUUUCGAACAUUUGGAACUGUUUCGUUUAUCAACGUAAUAACAACGAUUUUUUCCUUGGUCUUUACUCAGGAUUAUUGUAUUUCUUGUAAUAUACAAACAUUUCGUCCUCUCUUUGGAACAUACGAAUGUUUCAAAUGGUGUCAUACCAUCAUAGUGGUAUUGAAUAAAUGACAUUGUAUUUAGUAGACUGAAAAUCGUAUCAUUAGGAAUAAACUUGUUGACCCGGAGGGUGUAAUUGUUUUCUACAUUUAAUUAUAUUUUUAGUUUUGUAGAGAAAUAAUUUAUUCGUAUCCCCAAAAUACUCACAAUAUACUGUAUCAUUGCAGCGUAUAAAAAUUUACUUAUGAUUGCCUCUGCAGUAGUAAUAAUUAUGAACACAACAAGAUAAUUUUAAUUAUUUUCACAGCAUUCACAGUAACCGAUGAUCACUAUCCCCCUACGAGGUUCUCAUUCUUCUUGCCGCUUUUACAGUCACAUAUCAUCGCCACCCCCCUACGAGCCUCUCUUUAAGUUAUCUUGCCACAGAUUCCGAUUUUACAGCCACUGAUGAU